CCGAGUUCAUGCCCUUACGGGUAGACCUCCCACCCUAUGUUAUAUUCCCUUUGUUGCUUUGGCAGGCCGUCAGGCUUCGGUCAGGCUACCGGCUCCGGCUGGUAAGCGCCCGCCAGAGGACCCCAAACUCUGAAUAUUAGUGUCGUCUGAGUACUAUAAAACAGUUA
rnacentral:misc_RNA from 1 species